AACGAACGCUGGCGGCAUGCCUAACACAUGCAAGUCGAACGAGACCUUCGGGUCUAGUGGCGCACGGGUGCGUAACGCGUGGGAAUCUGCCCUUCGGUUUGGAAGAACUGAGAGAAAUUUCAGCUAAUACCUUAUAAUGUCUUCGGACCAAAGAUUUAUCGCCGAGGGAUGAGCCCGCGUAGGAUUAGGUAGUUGGGGGGGUAAUGGGCUACCAAGCCGACGAUACUUAGCUGGUCUGAGAGGAUGAUCAGCCACACUGGGACUGAGACACGGCCCAGAAUCCUACGGGAGGGAGCAAUGGGGGAUAUUGGAAAACGGGCGGAAGGCUGAACCAGCAAUGCCGGGUGAGUGAUGAAGGCCUUAGGGUUGUAAAGCUAUUUUACCCGGGAUGAUAAUGACAGUACCGGGAGAAUAAGCUCCGGCUAACUCCGUG
rnacentral:rRNA from 1 species